ACAUCGAUAUGUAGAUUUCCAGUCUUAGCAAGUGUAUGUUAAAUCAACAACUCCUGACCAACCAUUUCAAGGGUUGAAAUUGUUUUCACCACAUACAUGUAUGAAUGCAACAAUCACAGUACUGGUGAUAAAAUAUUUAUUGAACUGAAAGUUAGACAACUAUUGUUUUUAUUUCCAAUAACAUUUAAGAUAUUUAAACCUUAGAAGCAUUCUGUCUAGUUGAAGGGAGUGAUAGUUAUUUUAAAGUUGAACCGUUUGAAUAGAUGCAAUUUUUUUCUAAAAUGGGUGCUCCAGAUGGGUGUCUCAAAAACUCAGACCUCAACCCCUAAAAGAUCAGACCCUCUGGAUGUCUUGAAAACUCAGGCACAUGUUUGCCACAGAUUGUUUCAAAAUGACUUGUUUACAAUGUCAUACAUAUACUGCAGGCAGAAUCUGAGGGAAGAGAGGGAAAAAGAAAAAUCAGCUGUGGAGAGGAAGGACUACAAAAGUUGGACCAGAUAAAAUUCAGAUUACCAGUCUGGGCUGAAUUGAUUCGGAUCAACUCUGAUCAUGAAAAGCCCAUGAAUCCAAUGGUCAAAAUAUUGGUGGACUCAACUGACAGGCAUUAAUAUAGAGUAUAAUC